AAAAAAAAAAGAAUAUAAAAAGAAAGAAGUGGAAAAGAUUUGGAAAGAGAAAAAUAAAGAAGGUGAAAGGAAAGCAUAUAGUCGGCGCACAUUGUUCCCCCCGCCGACCAAUAACAGCGUCGUUUUCAUCCUCCUACAAAACUCCUCGUUUUUUCCACUCUCCUUUAUUCUUAAACCCUUCUUGUUUUUUUUUUUCUCUUAUAUAA